rnacentral:rRNA from 1 species
UACGUAGGGUGCAAGCGUUGUCCGGAAUUAUUGGGCGUAAAGAGCCCGUAGGCGGUUCGUCGCGUCGGCUGUGAAAACCCGGAGCUCAACUCCGGGCCUGCAGUCGAUACGGGCGGACUUGAGUGUUGCAGGGGAGACUGGAAUUCCUGGUGUAGCGGUGAAAUGCGCAGAUAUCAGGAGGAACACCGGCGGCGAAGGCGGGUCUCUGGGCCGAUACUGACGCUGAGGAGCGAAAGCGUGGGGAGCGAACAGG